AGAGUUUGAUCCUGGCUCAGGAUAACCGCUGGCGGCGUGCCUAACACAUGCAAGUCGAACGCUCUCUAGCAAUAGAGGGAGUGGCGGACGGGUGAGUAGCACAUGGGAAUCGACCCACACGUGAGGAAUACCACCGAGAAAUCGGUGACAAUACCGCAUACGCUCGGGCAACCGAGCAAAGCUCUUCUUCGGGAGGGCGCGCGUGGACGAGCCUGUGCCUGAUUAGUUGGUUGGUGGGGUAGGAGCCUACCAAGACUACGAUCAGUCGCUGGUCUGAGAGGAUGAUCAGCCACACUGGGAUUGAGAACGGCCCAGACUCCUACGGGGGGCAGCAGUGAGGAAUAUUCGGCAAUGGGGGCAACCCUGACCGAGCAACGCCGCGUGCAGGAAGACGGCCUUCGGGUUGUAAACUGCUUUUCUGGGGGAUGAGCAAGGACAGUACCCCAGGAAGAAGCUCCGGCUAACUACGUGCCAGCAGCCGCGGUAAUACGUAGGGAGCGAGCGUUGUCCGGAGUUACUGGGCGUAAAGCGCACGCAGGCGGUCUUUGGCGUUCGUGCCGACAGCGACUCGCUUACCGAGUCGAGGAGUACGGAAACGGGAAGACUUGAGGGCCACAGAGGGACACGGAACUCCGGGUGGAGUGGUGAAAUGCGUAGAGAUCCGGAAGAACACCAAAGGCGAAGGCAGUGUCCUGGGUGGUACCUGACGCUCAGAGGCGACAGCUAGGGGAGCGAACGGGAUUAGAUACCCCGGUAGUCC
rnacentral:rRNA from 1 species